rnacentral:rRNA from 1 species
UACGAAGGGGGCUAGCGUUGUUCGGAAUCACUGGGCGUAAAGGGUGCGCAGGCGGAUCAUUAAGUCAGGGGUGAAAUCCCGAGGCUCAACCUCGGAACGGCCUUUGAUACUGGUGAUCUUGAGUCCGGAAGAGGUGAGUGGAACUGCGAGUGUAGAGGUGAAAUUCGUAGAUAUUCGCAAGAACACCGGUGGCGAAGGCGGCUCACUGGUCCAGAACUGACGCUGAGGCACGACAGCGUGGGGAGCAAACAGG